rnacentral:misc_RNA from 1 species
GAUGAAGAACGCAGCGAAAUGCGAUACUUGGUGUGAAUUGCAGAACCCCGUGAACCAUCGAGUCUUUGAACGCAAGUUGCGCCCGAAGCCAUUAGGCCGAGGGCACGCCUGCCUGGGCGUCACACGUCGUUGCCCCCCCAUCUACUCCUUCGGGAUUGCGGGGGGCGGAUGAUGGCCUCCCGUGCGCCUCGCCGCGCGGUUGGCAUAAAUGCCAAGUCCUCGGCGACGCACGCCACGACAAUCGGUGGUUGCGAAACCUCGGUUGCCCGUCGUGUGCGGUCGUCGCGCAUCGAGGGCUCGAAAAAAUUGCCGGGUUCCGGCUCGGCUUUCAACGCGACCCCAGGUCAGGCGGGGUUACCCGCUGAAUUUAAGCAUAUCAAUAAGCGGAGGA